AGCGAACGCUGGCGGCAGGCCUAACACAUGCAAGUCGAACGAACUCUUCGGAGUUAGUGGCGGACGGGUGUGUAACACGUGGGAACGUGCCUUUUGGUUCGGAAUAACUCAGGGAAACUUGUGCUAAUACCGAAUGUGCCCUUCGGGGGAAAGAUUUAUCGCCAUUAGAGCGGCCCGCGUCUGAUUAGCUAGUUGGUGAGGUAACGGCUCACCAAGGCGACGAUCAGUAGCUGGUCUGAGAGGAUGACCAGCCACACUGGGACUGAGACACGGCCCAGACUCCUACGGGAGGCAGCAGUGGGGAAUCUUGCGCAAUGGGCGAAAGCCUGACGCAGCCAUGCCGCGUGAAUGAUGAAGGUCCUAGGAUUGUAAAAUUCUUUCACCGGGGACGAUAAUGACGGUACCCGGAGAAGAAGCCCCGGCUAACUUCGUG
rnacentral:rRNA from 1 species